rnacentral:rRNA from 1 species
AGCGCAUACGGUGGAUGCCUUGGCAGUCAGAGGCGAUGAAAGACGUGGUAGCCUGCGAAAAGCUUCGGGGAGUCGGCAAACAGACUGUGAUCCGGAGAUGUCUGAAUGGGGGAACCCAGCCAUCACAAGAUGGUUAUCUUACGCUGAAUACAUAGGCGUAAGAGGCGAACCAGGGGAACUGAAACAUCUAAGUACCCUGAGGAAAAGAAAUCAACCGAGAUUCCCUUAGUAGUGGCGAGCGAACGGGGACCAGCCCUUAAGUUGUAUUGAGAUUAGCGGAACGCUCUGGAAAGUGCGGCCAUAGUGGGUGAUAGCCCUGUACGCGAAAAUCCCUUUGCAAUGAAAUCGAGUAGGACGGGGCACGAGAAACCUUGUCUGAAUAUGGGGGGACCAUCCUCCAAGGCUAAAUACUACUGACUGACCGAUAGUGAACCAGUACCGUGAGGGAAAGGCGAAAAGAACCGCGGAGAGCGGAGUGAAAUAGAUCCUGAAACCGUAUGCGUACAAGCAGUGGGAGCCCACUUUGUUGGGUGACUGCGUACCUUUUGUAUAAUGGGUCAGCGACUUAUUUUCAGUGGCGAGCUUAACCGAAUAGGGGAGGCGUAGCGAAAGCGAGUCUUAAUAGGGCGUCUAGUCGCUGGGAAUAGACCCGAAACCGGGCGAUCUAUCCAUGGGCAGGUUGAAGGUUGGGUAACACUAACUGGAGGACCGAACCGACUACCGUUGAAAAGUUAGCGGAUGACCUGUGGAUCGGAGUGAAAGGCUAAUCAAGCUCGGAGAUAGCUGGUUCUCCUCGAAAGCUAUUUAGGUAGCGCCUCAUGUAUCACUGUAGGGGGUAGAGCACUGUUUCGGCUAGGGGGUCAUCCCGACUUACCAAACCGAUGCAAACUCCGAAUACCUACAAGUGCCGAGCAUGGGAGACACACGGCGGGUGCUAACGUCCGUCGUGAAAAGGGAAACAACCCAGACCGUCAGCUAAGGUCCCAAAGUCAUGGUUAAGUGGGAAACGAUGUGGGAAGGCUUAGACAGCUAGGAGGUUGGCUUAGAAGCAGCCACCCUUUAAAGAAAGCGUAAUAGCUCACUAGUCGAGUCGGCCUGCGCGGAAGAUGUAACGGGGCUCAAACCAUGCACCGAAGCUACGGGUAUCACCUUUGGUGAUGCGGUAGAGGAGCGUUCUGUAAGCCUGUGAAGGUGAGUUGAGAAGCUUGCUGGAGGUAUCAGAAGUGCGAAUGCUGACAUGAGUAACGACAAUGGGUGUGAAAAACACCCACGCCGAAAGACCAAGGUUUCCUGCGCAACGUUAAUCGACGCAGGGUUAGUCGGUCCCUAAGGCGAGGCUGAAAAGCGUAGUCGAUGGAAAACAGGUUAAUAUUCCUGUACUUCUGGUUAUUGCGAUGGAGGGACGGAGAAGGCUAGGCCAGCCUGGCGUUGGUAGUCCAGGUUUAAGGUGGUAGGCUGAGAUCUUAGGUAAAUCCGGGAUCUCAAGGCCGAGAGCUGAUGACGAGUGUUCUUUUAGAACACGAAGUGGUUGAUGCCAUGCUUCCAAGAAAAGCUUCUAAGCUUCAGGUAACCAGGAACCGUACCCCAAACCGACACAGGUGGUUGGGUAGAGAAUACCAAGGCGCUUGAGAGAACUCGGGUGAAGGAACUAGGCAAAAUGGCACCGUAACUUCGGGAGAAGGUGCGCCGGUGAGGGUGAAGCAUUUACUGCGUAAGCCCAUGCCGGUCGAAGAUACCAGGCCGCUGCGACUGUUUAUUAAAAACACAGCACUCUGCAAACACGAAAGUGGACGUAUAGGGUGUGACGCCUGCCCGGUGCCGGAAGGUUAAUUGAUGGGGUUAGCGCAAGCGAAGCUCUUGAUCGAAGCCCCGGUAAACGGCGGCCGUAACUAUAACGGUCCUAAGGUAGCGAAAUUCCUUGUCGGGUAAGUUCCGACCUGCACGAAUGGCGUAACGAUGGCGGCGCUGUCUCCACCCGAGACUCAGUGAAAUUGAAAUCGCUGUGAAGAUGCAGUGUAUCCGCGGCUAGACGGAAAGACCCCGUGAACCUUUACUAUAGCUUUGCACUGGACUUUGAAUUUGCUUGUGUAGGAUAGGUGGGAGGCUUUGAAGCGUGGACGCCAGUCUGCGUGGAGCCAACCUUGAAAUACCACCCUGGCAACUUUGAGGUUCUAACUCAGGUCCGUUAUCCGGAUCGAGGACAGUGUAUGGUGGGUAGUUUGACUGGGGCGGUCUCCUCCUAAAGAGUAACGGAGGAGUACGAAGGUGCGCUCAGACCGGUCGGAAAUCGGUCGUAGAGUAUAAAGGCAAAAGCGCGCUUGACUGCGAGACAGACACGUCGAGCAGGUACGAAAGUAGGUCUUAGUGAUCCGGUGGUUCUGUAUGGAAGGGCCAUCGCUCAACGGAUAAAAGGUACUCCGGGGAUAACAGGCUGAUACCGCCCAAGAGUUCAUAUCGACGGCGGUGUUUGGCACCUCGAUGUCGGCUCAUCACAUCCUGGGGCUGAAGCCGGUCCCAAGGGUAUGGCUGUUCGCCAUUUAAAGUGGUACGCGAGCUGGGUUUAGAACGUCGUGAGACAGUUCGGUCCCUAUCUGCCGUGGACGUUUGAGAUUUGAGAGGGGCUGCUCCUAGUACGAGAGGACCGGAGUGGACGAACCUCUGGUGUUCCGGUUGUCACGCCAGUGGCAUUGCCGGGUAGCUAUGUUCGGAAAAGAUAACCGCUGAAAGCAUCUAAGCGGGAAACUUGCCUCAAGAUGAGAUCUCACUGGAACCUUGA